CACCGCGGUUAUACGAGAGGCCCCAGUUGAUAGGUACGGCGUAAAGAGUGGUUAGUGAGUACACCCAACUAAAGCCGAAGACCCCCUAGGCCGUCAUACGCACCUGGGGGCACGAAGCCCCAUCACGAAAGUAGCUUUACCCAACCCUCGACCCCACGACAGCUGAGAUA
rnacentral:rRNA from 1 species